rnacentral:rRNA from 1 species
UACGGAGGGGGCGAGCGCUGUUCGGAAUCACUGGGCGUAAAGCGCGUGUAGGCGGUCUGGCAAGCCUGGGGUGAAAGCCCGGGGCUCACCCCCGGAAGUGCACUGGAAACUGCCAGACUCGAGUCCCGGAGAGGAGAGUAGAAUUCCUGGUGUAGCGGUGAAAUGCGUAGAUAUCAGGAGGAAUACCGGUGGCGAAGGCGGCUCUCUGGACGGUGACUGACGCUGAGACGCGAAAGCGUGGGGAGCAAACAGG